ensembl:misc_RNA
CUAAUGGGCCUGGAGUUAGAAUUCUUCUACUUCUCCCAGCUUCAGAGCAGAUGUGACACAGCCCAGGGCAGUGCAACCUUCCCCCCAAAGGUCCCAUGAAUGUUCUUCAACUCUGGCCUGGAGAGACCCGCUCUGGGGAUAAAAGGCGAAUUGAGUCUCCAUGGCCAAUUCACUCCAUGGCCUCC